UUGGGGAAGGGCAGGUUUUAAAUAUCUGGGAGUUUUUGGGGGACAAAUGAGUAUAGACAACAAAAUUGGGAGGGCCUGCUGGAGAAAAUACGUGCGCGACUGUCUCGUUGGAAAUAGUUGAUACCGUUGUCAUACAGGGGAAGGGUGCUGGUAUUUAACAACCUCAUAGCCUCUUCCCUUUGGCACAGAACAAUGAUCCUGCAGCCUCCAGAAGAUCUCGUGAGGCAAAUACAGAGAUUGGCUAAAGGCACCAGUGCUGUAUCUACCCAGACAAGAAGGAGGACAAGGCCUAGUAGAUGUUGGGUCCAGAGUGAAGACAUUCAAACUCCAAGUGGCUCAGAGACUUCUCUACAGGCAGGAUGUGAGCUGGGCUGGGAUAGCGUGCACCUUACUGAGGAAAUCAGUGGCUGCAGGCAUAUUACAUGCACAUCCGGCCAAGAGCGAUCAGGAGUGACCUGAACUGUGACAGAUUUUUUCCUUUCGUCAGCUGGCACGGCUUUGCUCACAGUUUCAAACGACCUUGGUGUGCUCCACAAAGCGCACGUACCUACACAAAUCGACGUACUCGUGCGAUUGUUCACUUUCUUUACAGAAAUAUCAGACCCCAUCAUAUUACAAUUAACAUUCCGUGUAACAUUUUCUUUCUGCAGUUAUGAAAAAAGCUGGAGAGAGUGCACACUGGAAAGCUUUUUAAGAGCCACCACUCGUCAGGCAGGAAGUGCGGCAGAGUCAGCAGCAGCUAACCCGAAGGACACGGAGAAGGAGGCCGUGUCCUUUCACCUGGCCUAUGACACUGCCGUGGCCAGACUGCGCAGAGUACCGACACCACAGGCUGUAGCCGCCACGGCUACAUUGCUGGACUCCUUGGCAGGGUAGGGUUCGUCAUCUUACACAGACAUGAAACAUCACAAUUGCUGCACAAUUAGUGUAUUUGCUGUUCAACUAAUUUCGAAUGUCAACACAUACCUUCUUUCCUUUUAUAGCUGUGACACCGACCGGUAUCCUGGUCCGUCAGUCACAAAGUCUUUUGACUUUUCAGACUUUUUAAAGAUGUUUCCGGCGUCGGCAGACAGCAAACCACCCACCAAACAGGACAGGUUAAAGGCGGGGUUUCCGGGGAUCGUGUCUUCUACGACAAGUGGCGUGCCUCCCAAAAGGCCAAAAGAAUGGAACUGCUGCUGUGCAAGUACUCUGAUCCAUAAAUACCACAUUGACUAACAAAAUGAAUAAAUAUUUACUUUGACAAUUGAGCAAAACUAUGGUCUCCACCCACAAGCUCAAGUCAUUUCUGUUGUGAUUUGUUCCUGUCGAUAACUGCCGUGUGACUGCAGUUGUUUUAUUCUUCGUUCUAGUGUCCUUUAUCCGAAAACCACGAGAAAGCAGAGUGAAAUGCAGGAUUGUGAAGGAGGGGUGGAAGAACAACUGUCCGAAGCCAGCGGACAUUUUGGCGGCAUGGAAACCAGCCACCAAACUUGUCAUCGAGACUGAUGAGGACCUCUGCCAGAACGCGUCUCAGCAGACGUGGAAAGGCCUGGCCCUCAAAGGUUUUGGUGGAGAGAAAGGGCUAGGAGUUGUUGCAACCCAACCCUUUUCCAAGGGUGACAUCGUGUGUGAUGACCGUGGGAAGGUAAUCACAGCUGCCCAGGGAAAAGUCAUGAUGCAGAAUCUACAGGAUGAAGCACCAGAGUACCUGUUUUUCUUCAGGACCGGGCAGAGGCAUCUCCGCAUCGACGCCCAGACUUUUCCCUGUGAAUGCCACCCCUGUGCAGACACUGUGGGCAGAAGACUGAAGCAUUCAUCCAAGCAAGCCGACCUGUGUUCUAAAUAAAAACAGCUUUUUUUACUUAAAUAUACUUGCCUAAAACGUUUUUUUUUUUUGGUAUCAGUAUCCUGCCUUCCUGACCAAUCAUUAAUAAAGUUUAUCUAUAUAUUACAGGGUAAACUUAAAUUCUUGUUAUAAAU